GUAGGAUCCAGGAAGCACUGAACCUGCCAUCGAAACCUAGAUGCUGGAGUAUUCUCUGCCCCUGCAGGCUCCCACUAAAACAUAUGACCACAUUCUGGCUGUUUCCAACUGCCUCCACAGAUGCUUGUGAAUUUACAGAACUCCUCUGCAGUCAGUGGAAGAAUGAGGUUUCCAGCUCCCUCUAGUGGCAGCUUCUACCAGAAACACUGUGGUCGGGGGAAGACCGUGGCUCGCACGAGGACAAAGGGGAUAUCCACAUUCCAGACUUCCCACAGUGCAACAAUGAUCAUCCCAUCUUAACUCCUCUUACCAACUUUCUAUCGAUUGGAUGUCAUGAAUUAUCUUCUUUCAACUUUUCUUCUAAGUUCUUGUCUACGAUUGUUUAAUGCCGUUUGAUCUUUCAUCUGUUCUUCCAUUGUAAAGAAGAAGGAAGUUACCUGUUUGUCAGUUACUGAUAUCACCUAUACUGUUAUCUGAUUGG